CCAGACUCCUACGGGAGGCAGCAGUGGGGAAUAUUGCACAAUGGGGGAAACCCUGAUGCAGCGACGCCGCGUGAGUGAAGAAGUAUCUCGGUACGUAAAGCUCUAUCAGCAGGGAAGAAAAAAAGUCUUUGGCUUUGGACGGUACCUGACUAAGAAGCCCUGGCUAACUACGUGCCAGCAGCCGCGGUAAUACGUAGGGGGCAAGCGUUAUCCGGAUUUAUUGGGUUUAAAGGGUGCGCAGGCGGCACGGCAAGCCGGCGGUCAAAUCGCGGGGCUCAACCCCGCCCAGCCGUCGGAACUGCCGGGCUAGAGUGGGCGAGAAGUGCGCGGAAUGCGUGGUGUAGCGGUGAAAUGCAUAGAUAUCACGCAGAACUCCGAUUGCGAAGGCAGCGCACCGGCGCCCUACUGACGCUCAUGCACGAAAGCGUGGGUAUCGAACAGGAUUAGAUACCCCGGUACGG
rnacentral:rRNA from 1 species